rnacentral:rRNA from 1 species
GACGAACGCUGGCGGCGUGCUUAACACAUGCAAGUCGAACGGUAAGGCCCUUCGGGGUACACGAGUGGCGAACGGGUGAGUAACACGUGGGUGAUCUGCCCUGCACUUCGGGAUAAGCCUGGGAAACUGGGUCUAAUACCGGAUAGGACCACUGCCUGCAUGGGUGGUGGUGGAAAGCUUUUGCGGUGUGGGAUGGGCCCGCGGCCUAUCAGCUUGUUGGUGGGGUGAUGGCCUACCAAGGCGACGACGGGUAGCCGGCCUGGGAGGGUGACCGGCCACACUGGGACUGGGAUACGGCCCAGACUCCUACGGGAGGCAGCAGUGGGGAAUAUUGCACAAUGGGCGCAAGCCUGAUGCAGCGACGCCGCGUGAGGGAUGACGGCCUUCGGGUUGUAAACCUCUUUCAGCACCGACGAAGCGCAAGUGACGGUAGGUGCGGAAGAAGGACCGACCAACUACGUGCCAGCCGCCGCCGUAA